rnacentral:rRNA from 1 species
AUUGAACGCUGGCGGCAUGCCUUACACAUGCAAGUCGAACGGUAACAGGCCGCAAGGUGCUGACGAGUGGCGAACGGGUGAGUAAUGCAUCGGAACGUGCCCAGUUGUGGGGGAUAACUGCUCGAAAGAGCAGCUAAUACCGCAUACGACCUGAGGGUGAAAGCGGGGGAUCGCAAGACCUCGCGCAAUUGGAGCGGCCGAUGUCAGAUUAGGUAGUUGGUGGGGUAAAGGCCUACCAAGCCGACGAUCUGUAGUUGGUCUGAGAGGACGACCAGCCACACUGGGACUGAGACACGGCCCAGACUCCUACGGGAGGCAGGAGUGGGGAAUUUUGGACAAUGGGCGCGAGCCUGAUCCAGCAAUGCCGCGUGCAGGAAGAAGGCCUUCGGGUUGUAAACUGCUUUUGUCAGGGAAGAAAUCCUCUGGGUUAAUACCCCGGGGGGAUGACGGUACCUGAAGAAUAAGCACCGGCUAACUACGUGCCAGCCGCCGCCGUAACAC